UACGGAGGGGACUAGCGUUGUUCGGAAUUACUGGGCGUAAAGCGCACGUAGGCGGAUUUGUAAGUCAGGUGUGAAAUCCCCGGGCUUAACCUGGGAACUGCGCUUGUUACUGGCAGGCUUGAGUGUGGCAGAGGGGGGUGGAAUUCCACGUGUAGCAGUGAAAUGCGUAGAGAUGUGGAGGAACACCGAUGGCGAAGGCAGCCCCCUGGGCUAACACUGACGCUCAUGCACGAAAGCGUGGGGAGCAAACAGG
rnacentral:rRNA from 1 species